rnacentral:rRNA from 1 species
CAUGUACGCUGGCGGCAGGUUUACCACAUGCAGUCGAGCGGGCGAGGUUACCUUGCUACCUGACCUAGCGGCGGACGGGUGAGUAAUGCUUAGGAAUCUGCCUAUUAGUGGGGGACAACAUUCCGAAAGGAAUGCUAAUACCGCAUACGCCCUACGGGGGAAAGCAGGGGAUCUUCGGACCUUGCGCUAAUAGAUGAGCCUAAGUCAGAUUAGCUAGUUGGGGGGGUAAAGGCCUACCAGGGCGACGAUCUGUAGCGGGUCUGAGAGGAUGAUCCGCCACACUGGGACUGAGACACGGCCCAAACUCCUACGGGAGGCAGCAGUGGGGAAUAUUGGACAAUGGGCGCCAGCCUGAUCCAGCCAUGCCGCGUGUGUGAAGAAGGCCUUUUGAUUGUAAAGCACUUUAACGGAGGAGGAGGCUACUGAGAUUAAGACUCUCGCUAGUGGACGUUACUCGCAGAAUAAGCACGGGCUAACUCUGUGCCAGCAGCCGCGAUAAUACAGAGUGUGCGAGCGAUAAUCGCAUUUACUGCGCGUAAGCGCGCGUGGGCGCUAUUAAGUCGGAUGUGAGAUCCCUGAGCUAACUAAGCAUUGCAUUCG